rnacentral:misc_RNA from 1 species
UAAAUAGCGACAGCACCGUGACACGCAACACUGACCGAGCAGCCAACUGUUUAUGGCCAACGAAUGGAGUUACUACACCGCGACAACUUGACAUGGAACACACCAUACACUGUGCCACUACACGCGCCCUCCUUCGAAGGGAAGUCCAUCAUGGGCAGGUGGUCACGAAUCAUGGUCACCCUGUCCGGUGUCGGCUUCCCUCAUACGCUCUGUCAAACAAUUAGGAGAAGGUAGGUGGGCAUUAGCUACUUCGCUUGAAAAACGUAUAUUUCAAGACAAAGCGGCGUGGAACUUUUUUAAAAAUAACGGUUGCAUGGGUUGUACGAUGCCGCCAAAUCUAUAUAGAACUUUCACUUGUAGUAUAUACGUAGAGAUAGUUUUGAAUUUUUAUGUUACGGCAAACGUACAUGUGAGAAAAUCUUGAGUGAAAGUAAGAUACAUGUGUAUGAUUUUAAUAUAAUAAUAAACAUGGCUGUAAUAACAAAGUACAAGAAAUAGCUUGUAUAUAAUAAAGAACUAAGGUACAUAAUAAAAUAAUGAAAUGUUUGU